CAAACACUCGCCAGGAGGUAGAUAAUGGGGAGUGUGAUCUCCUCCAUUUGUACACAGACAGCGCUUUGGCACCGGCGCUGCCUUGAACCGGCGUCAAACCCCGCGGAUGGCCGGACCCCGUCGCCGUCCCCGGGCCCCGCCGCUCCCCGGGGCUGGGAAGCCCCCUCCGCGGGGAAUUAAGAUUCAUGACAUGCAAACAGCGAGGGCACAUUAGCUCCUCUCUCCCCCUUCACACCGACAGGAGAUAAAACUCUGGAGAACCGGAAUAAAACAAACUGCUACUCCUCUCAGAAGGAACAUGCAGCCAGGUCGCAAUUAAAUAUACAGAUACACGAGCUGUUAGCAAGACUUCACCCUCGUAGCCGAAUCUGAAAGCAGCCGAGCCGGGGAAAUGAUGACCCUGUCACUUAUUCCUCAGACUUAAAAUGCGUCCAAACUCGCCGGCAGAGCCCGCGGCUCUCGCUCGGGGGCUCUCUUUUGUCGGCGCCCCUCGCCCUGCCCACGGCGGCUCCGGGGCUCUCCUCUUCCUCUUCUUCCUCCUCCGGCAGAGAUGGGAAGGGGCGAACCUGAUCGCAGCGCUUCACUGUCACCUUUCGGAGCAGAAGAAAAGCAAGACAGCGCUACGCAGAGUGCGAAUGAAAACCCAGUGCCAGUUUCAAAGGCUCUCCUGCUCCUACAACAGUGUACUCAGGAAGGGGAUCGUGCUGUCUUAACGUUACUAAGCUGAACUGUUUCAAUUACAGAGCUGUAAAUAAAGAUAUAGCUUAUUUUAUAGAUCUAAUUAUUCAGUUUUUACAAAAUUUUCAUCAGGAAAAAAAUAUAGUAUUGAUACACAG